rnacentral:rRNA from 1 species
UACGUAGGUGGCAAGCGUUGUCCGGAAUUACUGGGCGUAAAGGGCGUGUAGGUGGCUUGCUAAGUCAGACGUGAAAUCCCUCAGCUUAACUGGGGAACUGCGUCUGAGACUGGCAGGCUUGAGUGCAGGAGAGGAACGCGGAAUUCCAGGUGUAGCGGUGAAAUGCGUAGAUAUCUGGAGGAACACCGGUGGCGAAGGCGGCAUCCUGGACCGGCAUUGACGCUGAGGCGCGAAAGCCAGGGGAGCAAACGGG